GCCCCGGAAGUGGGGCGCAGGGAGAGGAGCCACUCCAGGAUCGGGAAUAAGAACUCCUCCUCCCACGCCUCUAACGCCGGCCCCUUCCUUCGCAACCUGAGAAAAGUCCCGCCUCGAGCGGAUCCGGGCGGAAAUGACGUUGGCAAUACUGUGGUCACCACUGACCUAGGAUAGAUUCAACCAGUGGUAGCGAGGUGAAGAAACCUGUAGAUACGUCUACACUGCAGUGUAAGCCUGGGCUCAGACUCGAGCUUGAACCCAAACCCCCUUCCAUCUACGCACAAAUCUCUCAGACGCAGGCUCAGUCCUAGGAUCCUGUGGGGGUGAAGGGUCCGAGUGCAUAUCAAGCUAGGGCCCAGGGUUCAAGCUGUAUUGUUUUGCAAUCUAGACACAGCCCCUUCGACUUACAUCCUGGGAGUCUGCCAAAAAUAUCCCACAAUCCCAAGGGCCUGCUUCCUUUGUCUUCUUUAUCCCCAGAAUCUCAAAUCAACUGGAGUGAAAACAGAAGCAAUCUCCUUUGGUGUACUGCAGCAGCUCAGUGAAUCAGCGUUAACUCUUUUGUUGUCUUCUGACCACUGAGCUGCAAACACACCAUCAGAGAGCCUUCUGCCUUGGCAAUGGAGACUGACUAGAACAAGCCCUUUUCAAAGCAUGCUGCUUCAUGGUAACGGGAGCACAGCUAGAUUUUGGUAAAUCUCAGGUGCGAGGCCAGCAAAACAGUGGACUUUAGUAAGAAUAUCAGGAAUGAUCACGCAUACCAACGAAUAACAAUUGGCACUGCUGCAAAUUUACCAGACCAGUGACCAGUGCGGGGACCAGAUUAAGUGUCAUGAGUGAGUACAAGAAAGCCAGGGACCAGAACUGGACCUUCGGCAACUUGCCAACAUCCUGCCUGUUUUAUGAGGAGUUUGACUGAGUGCUGGGUGCUGCGCUAAGAAUGGAACCAAUGGUGCUGCACGAUGACCUGAUCAUCUGGAAUGGUACCCUGCUGGCUCCAGGAUCCAGCGUAGGGCAUGACGGGAGCCAGCAGCAGGCACCAAGUGAGGUCAGCGAAGUGACUCUGUUACUGAAACUGGUUUCAAAGGCGCAGGAGCAGCAGCAGCACAUCCUGGGGCUGUACUUGGAGGAGCUGUUUGAUGCUCCCCUGACAAACAGCCCACUGGGGAGCCUGCAGCAAACACAGACAGAACAAAAGCCACCUGGAGACUAGCCCCGUGAUCUCUACUGGCUGCAAUAUCUCCACAGCUCACCCACACUGCAGUACAAGCCUGGGCCAAUGUAACUUCACUGACCGUUCCAAGAGGAAGCAUUUCUGUGAUGAACUUAUGGUUGAAGUUCUUGACAGAACCAACAAACAGGUCCAAUACCAAAACCAGAAGGACUUACAGCUAGAGAAAAGGCACGGCGAGAGACAAGAGGACAGCCUGAGGCUGGCUGCAUAGCUUGAGGACAGGGUUUCAGCAUGGGAGCAGGCACUUCCUUUGCAGUUCCUGAAACAGGAACGGUGGCUAAGGGAGGAGGACAGAGCUCAGCAGAGAGAACUGUUUGAGUGGCUGAUAUCACUAAUGGCUGCGAGAGUACUAGCUUCUGCUGCACCCACAUCCCAGCCUGAGUGCCUGGCAUGGUACCAUCAGAUGCAGUCCAGAAA